GGUUGGUCUGAUGAUAACGGAUUAUCAGAACUUAUUAACAUUAGUGUCACUAAAGUUGCUAUACAACCCCCACAGCUAGAUUUUACUGACUUAAA
rnacentral:Y_RNA from 1 species